UACGGAGGAUCCGAGCGUUAUCCGGAUUUAUUGGGUUUAAAGGGUGCGCAGGCGGGAGAUUAAGUCGGCGGUGAAAUUUUGCAGCUCAACUGUAAAAGUGCCUUCGGAACUGGUUUCCUUGAGUGUGGAUGAAGUAGGCGGAAUUUGUGGUGUAGCGGUGAAGUGCUUUGAUAUCGCAAGGAACACCGGCGGCGAAGGCGGCUUACUGGGCUUCAACUGACGCUUAAGCGCGAAAGCUAGGGUAGCGAACGGGAUUAGAUACCCCGGUAGUCCCUGAGCGGGCUGG
rnacentral:rRNA from 1 species